GAUGAACGCUAGCGGCAGGCUUAACACAUGCAAGUCGAGGGGUAGAGGUUGCUUGCAACCUUGAGACCGGCGCACGGGUGCGUAACGCGUAUGCAACCUACCUUUUACAGAGGGAUGGCCCAGAGAAAUUUGGAUUAAUACCUCAUAGUAUAUAGUCUUCGCAUGUUGACUAUAUUAAAGUUCCAACGGUAAAAGAUGGGCAUGCGUCCUAUUAGCUAGAUGGUAAGGUAACGGCUUACCAUGGCAACGAUAGGUAGGGGUCCUGAGAGGGAGAUCCCCCACACUGGUACUGAGACACGGACCAGACUCCUACGGGAGGCAGCAGUGAGGAAUAUUGGACAAUGGGCGCAAGCCUGAUCCAGCCAUGCCGCGUGCAGGAAGAAGCAUCUAUGGUGUGUAAACUGCUUUUGUACGGGAAGAAACACUCCGACGUGUCGGAGCUUGACGGUACCGUAAGAAUAAGGAUCGGCUAACUCCGUGCCAGCAGCCGCGGUAAAAC
rnacentral:rRNA from 1 species